GACAGAGGGUGCAAACGUUGUUCGGAAUUACUGGGCGUAAAGCGCGUGUAGGCGGCAAGGCAAGUCGGGUGUGAAAGCCCUGGGCUCAACCCAGGAAGUGCAUUCGAUACUGCCAAGCUAGAGUCCCGGAGAGGAUGGUGGAACUCUCGGUGUAGAGGUGAAAUUCGUAGAUAUUGGGAAGAACACCGAUGGCGAAGGCAGCCAUCUGGACCGACACUGACGCUGAGGCGCGAAAGCGUGGGGAGCAAACAGG
rnacentral:rRNA from 1 species